rnacentral:lncRNA from 1 species
GUUGUUGUGAACAAUUUCAACUAAACAGCCGAUGCCUUCUAUUUAUAGUGCUGAUCUCGGACUCCCUCGCGGCCCGCGUAAGCCGAAGGAUAGUCCUUCGUGGCCCCCAACGUAGGGUUGUAGGGCCUAGCUAUGACCAGUCAGCAGUCGUAGCCUCAACACAUUGCCUGACACGUGGCAGCAUCGGGUGCUGCCUGAUCGCUUAUCUGUCGCGCCCCGCGUAGCCUGAAGGCAAGGCCUUCACGGCCCGCGAGCGACCCCAUUUCCUUGUUUUUAUUUAAUUUUUAAUUAUAUAAGGUAUUUAGGGCUCAGUUUUAGCAUGUGGGGUGUAUUUUAAGACAUAUAAGGACACUUUAAAUAUAUUAGAGGUGUCGAAAAAUGUUUUGGAGGGUUGUUAUAUCCUCCCCACCUUUUUUUAGAACUCAUCCUCGAGGUCUACUGGAAUAGGUGCGGGUAUUUCCUUUGCAUUUUCGAUUCAAGCUCCCAAGUGUACUCCGAUCCUCUCUUGGAAUCCCAUUUCACUUUGACCAGAACUAAUCUCUUGUGUUUGAGAUUCUUGACUUUUCUGUCUUCAAUCUGUAGAGGCCUUUCCACAAACUUUAACUGCUCAUUUACCUCUAUGUCCUUAAGAGGUACUUCCAGUGAUUCAUCAGCUAAACAUUUCUUGAGAUUACAUACAUGAAAUACAUCAUGUAUUCCUGCCAUUUCCUCUGGCAGUUCCGAUUCUUCUAAUAAUCUUAAAAGGUCCAACAUACCUGGGGCUUAGCUUUCCCCUUUUGAUGAAUCUUACCACUCCUUUCCAAGAAGAGACCUUUAAUAAAACUUUGUCACCUACUUGAAAUUCCAACAGUUUCCGCCUGUUAUCAGCAUAACUCUUUUGUCGAUCACGUGCUGCUUUUAGUCUUUCCUUGACUUGAAAAAUUUUGUCGGUUGUUUCUUGUACUAUCUCGGGUCCAGAUAGUUGCUUUUCUCAAAUUUCUGCCCAACAGACUGGCGUUCGGCACUUUCUUCCAUAAAGUGCUUCGAAUGAUGCAGCAUGGAUACUGGUAUGAUAGUUGUUAUUGUAAGAAAAUUCUAUCAGGGGUAAGUGAUCGUCCCAAUUACUUCCGAAAUCAAUUAUACAAGAUCUAAGCAUAUCUUCGAUUGUCUGAAUUGUCCUUUUGCUUUGCACGUCCAUUUGAGGAUGAUAAGCGGUGCUUAGAUUCAACUUGGUUCCCAUUGCCUUUUGGAAACUUGCCCAAAAAUGAGAGGUAAAACAGCUAUCUCUAUCAGAAACAAUUGAUAAAGGAAUUCCAUGUAAUGAAACUAUUUCAUUUACAUACAACUUAGCUAACUGUUCCAUACUGAAAGUUUCCUUCAUUGGUAAUAAAUGAGCUGACUUAGUUAGCCUAUCUACAAUCACCCAGAUUGUAUCAUUACAUUUUCUGGUCUUGGGUAAUUUGGUAACAAAAUCCAUUGUUAUCAAUUCCCAUUUCCAUACUGGCAUCUCUAACUGUUGCAACAAUCCUGAGGGUUUCUGAUGUUCAGCUUUGAUCUGUGAACAAGUUAAACAUUUAGAAACAUAAACGGCUAUAUCCUUUUUCAUUCCUAUACACCAAAAAUUCUUUCCUAAGUCUUGAUACAUCUUAUCACUUCCAAGAUGCAUCGUAUACUUAGAUUUAUGGGCUUCUUCUAGUAUGUAAUGGUAAAGGUUUCCUAAUUUAGGUAUCCACAUUCUUUUCUUAUGGAAUCUCCAAAUUCCAUCGGUUCCAUGCUCUAAUUCUUUAAUCAUUCCUUUUAACUUUUCAGUAUCAUCCUUGAUUACCGAUUCUUGUGCUUCUUUAAUCUGUUCAUUUAAAUCUACCUGCAGGUUUAACUUAAGAGAACAUACUCUUUUUGGCUUUUCAUGAUACUUUCGACUUAAAGCAUCAGCUACCACAUUUGCCUUUCCUGCAUGAUACUGGAUAUUACAAUCAUAAUCACUAAGAAUUUCCAUCCAGCGUCUUUGUCUCAUAUUGAACUCCUUUUGCCCGAAGACAUACCUUAAACUCUUAUGAUCGGUGAAAAUGGUAAACUUACUACCGUAAAGGUAAUGUCUCCAAAUCUUAAGGGCAAAAAUUAUGGCUGCUAGUUCCAAAUCAUGGGUUGAAUAAUUUUCUUCAUGAUUCUUAAGUUGUCUAGAGGCAUAGGCUAUAACCUUUUGAUGUUGCAUCAACACACAUCCAUAACCUAACUUAGAAGCGUCACAAUAGACUACAAAGUCUUCAGUUCCUUCUGGUAAUGCUAGUAUGGGUGCGUUGGUUAACCUUUGCUUAAGAAUUCUAAAGGCUUCUUCUUGUUUUGGUCUCCAUUCAAACUUAACAAAUUUACAUGGGUUUUCCAUUUGGUAA